GAUGAACGCUGGCGGCGUGCCUAAUACAUGCAAGUCGAGCGAACGGACGAGAAGCUUGCUUCUCUGAUGUUAGCGGCGGACGGGUGAGUAACACGUGGAUAACCUACCUAUAAGACUGGGAUAACUUCGGGAAACCGGAGCUAAUACCGGAUAAUAUUUUGAACCGCAUGGUUCAAAAGUGAAAGACGGUCUUGCUGUCACUUAUAGAUGGAUCCGCGCUGCAUUAGCUAGUUGGUAAGGUAACGGCUUACCAAGGCAACGAUGCAUAGCCGACCUGAGAGGGUGAUCGGCCACACUGGAACUGAGACACGGUCCAGACUCCUACGGGAGGCAGCAGUAGGGAAUCUUCCGCAAUGGGCGAAAGCCUGACGGAGCAACGCCGCGUGAGUGAUGAAGGUCUUCGGAUCGUAAAACUCUGUUAUUAGGGAAGAACAUAUGUGUAAGUAACUGUGCACAUCUUGACGGUACCUAAUCAGAAAGCCACCGCUAACUACGUG
rnacentral:rRNA from 1 species